rnacentral:misc_RNA from 1 species
AAGUCGUAACAAGGUUUCCGUAGGUGAACCUGCGGAAGGAUCAUUAUUGAUUUUUAAAGCAAACCAAGCUUUUUUAAUAAAGUAAGGUUUUGCGAACAUAUUUAAAACCCCACUCUUUUAAAUAAAUUUUCAUUCAUUAUAUAUUAUGAAUAAAAAAAAGAUCACUUUCAACAACGGAUCUCUUGGCUCUC